CAGACUACAGACAUUUAAACAUUUUUGAAAAAAUCAUUAUUUUUUAUCAUGAAACCUAUUAAACAAAGUAAUGCCUUUUGCUCUAAGAGCACCUGAGAAGAGUGGAGAGUCUGUGCUAGUUUUGUUUCGUACUCAAAAAUGCAUACGAGCAGAAAACCUUCAAAUUUAAGUGAUUGGCAUUCAACUCAAAUUAACCAUACAAGAUAUUAACAGCCCUAUAUCGUUUCUCGCUGCUUGCUUUGGAACUGUUGCCACUGAAGGCCGUCAUUAGCGUAUAUGGUCUUUGAUUUUGGAUAUAUGGUCCAAUCCGGGGGUAAAAAGUCAGCAUCAUAAGAGCGUUGACUGAAAUGUGUCAAAAUAAGUGCUUUGGCUUUCAUUGAUUGAGCGACUGAAAGCGCUUCGGAUGCAGUCGAGUGCUGUCGCUGAAUAGCUUCAUGUUUCAAAUCAUCCUCAAAAGUCGAUUCAUGAAGGAGUAAAGAAGCACCUAUACCUGCUUUGACAAGUUUUUCAUUGGGUCGAGUGUCACCACUGUACACAAGUUUUCCGUAUUUGGUGUGCGAUAUAAUACAGGAAUAUGAAUCAUUUAUGUGAAUAGAUGGUACAGAAGAAAUUGAGAGAUCGGAAGUUAACUGUAAAGGAGUGGUAACCGUUUCUUUAGCAAUAAUGAAUAUUAUACGGUUCAACAAUGCUUGCAAAUUUGCUGGACUUUUUAAGCGCUGUAACCACUGCCACAAGAAUUUGGGACCAAUAAU